rnacentral:rRNA from 1 species
GACGAACGCUGGCGGCGUGCCUAAUACAUGCAAGUCGAACGCUUCUUUCCUCCCGAGUGCUUGCACUCAAUUGGAAAGAGGAGUGGCGGACGGGUGAGUAACACUUGGGUAACCUACCCAUCAGAGGGGGAUAACACUUGGAAACAGGUGCUAAUACCGCAUAACAGUUUAUGCCGCAUGGCAUAAGAGUGAGAGGCGCUUUCGGGUGUCGCUGAUGGAUGGACCCGCGGUGCAUUAGCUAGUUGGUGAGGUAACGGCUCACCAAGGCCACGAUGCAUAGCCGACCUGAGAGGGUGAUCGGCCACACUGGGACUGAGACACGGCCCAGACUCCUACGGGAGGCAGCAGUAGGGAAUCUUCGGCAAUGGACGAAAGUCUGACCGAGCAACGCCGCGUGAGUGAAGAAGGUUUUCGGAUCGUAAAACUCUGUUGUUAGAGAAGAACAAGGACGUUAGUAACUGAACGUCCCCUGACGGUAUCUAACCAGAAAGCCACGGCUAACUACGUG